AUGCGGCAACGUAAGUGGCCUGGGAACCCGGUGUGCUCCUUCUGCCAACAAAUUGAAACUUCCCAGCAUUUGUUCUUUGGCUGCCCUAUUGCCAGAGUUGUUUGGCGAUCUAUUGGGGUGACUCUUGGGACUGACCUUUGUCCCAGAAACUGUUGGCAGUUUUUUGUGUGGUGCUACUCCUUCCUACCCAGAUAUGAAUCAUUCUAUACUGUGGCUUUGGGUGCGGUUACUUGGUCUAUCUGGCUGGCACGGAAUAGUGCUACCUUUGAGAAGAUGAUUAAAUCUCCUUUCGAGAUUGUCUUUACGGUGGUCUCUUUUCUUCUAUAUUGGGCAGGUCUUCAGGUUGGAUACGAUGUCAAGCAACUUCGAGCAGGGGCGGAGAUGAUUCGCGGCGGGACUCUGAUGCUGAUGAGGGCAUGUGAUACAACUAUCAAGAUUGGAGACUGA
rnacentral:rRNA from 1 species